GACGAACGCUGGCGGCGCGCUUAACACAUGCAAGUCGAGCGAGAACCUGGGCUUCGGCCCAGGGGACAGCGGCGAACGGGUGAGUAACACGUGGGUAAUCUGCCCUCGGCAUCGGGAUAGCCCGGGGAAACCCGGAUUAAUACCGAAUAGCCUCCGGAGCCUUCGGGCGCCGGAGAAAAGGUAGCUUCGGCCUCUGGCCGAGGAUGAGCCCGCGGCGGAUUAGCUUGUUGGUGGGGUAACGGCCCACCAAGGCGACGAUCCGUAGCUGGUCUGGGAGGACGAUCAGCCACACUGGGACUGAGACACGGCCCAGACUCCUACGGGAGGCAGCAGUGGGGAAUCUUGCGCAAAUGCGGGAAACCGUGACGCAGCGACGCCGCGUGGGGGAAGAAGGCCUUCGGGUUGUAAACCUCUUUCAGGAGGGACGAAGCUACUCGGGUGAAUAGCCCAGAGGGUGACGGUACCUCCAGAAGAAGCCCCGGCUAACUACGUGCCAGCCGCCGCAGUAAAAC
rnacentral:rRNA from 1 species